AGUCGAAGGUAGCACAGAGAGCUUGCUCUCGGGUGACGAGUGGCGGACGGGUGAGUAAUGUCUGGGAAACUGCCUGAUGGAGGGGGAUAACUACUGGAAACGGUAGCUAAUACCGCAUAACGUCGCAAGACCAAAGAGGGGGACCUUCGGGCCUCUUGCCAUCAGAUGUGCCCAGAUGGGAUUAGCUAGUAGGUGGGGUAACGGCUCACCUAGGCGACGAUCCCUAGCUGGUCUGAGAGGAUGACCAGCCACACUGGAACUGAGACACGGUCCAGACUCCUACGGGAGGCAGCAGUGGGGAAUAUUGCACAAUGGGCGCAAGCCUGAUGCAGCCAUGCCGCGUGUAUGAAGAAGGCCUUCGGGUUGUAAAGUACUUUCAGCGGGGAGGAAGGUGUUGUGGUUAAUAACCGCAGCAAUUGACGUUACCCGCAGAAGAAGCACCGGCUAACUCCGUGCCAGCAGCCGCGGUAAUACGGAGGGUGCAAGCGUUAAUCGGAAUUACUGGGCGUAAAGCGCACGCAGGCGGUCUGUCAAGUCGGAUGUGAAAUCCCCGGGCUCAACCUGGGAACUGCAUUCGAAACUGGCAGGCUGGAGUCUUGUAGAGGGGGGUAGAAUUCCAGGUGUAGCGGUGAAAUGCGUAGAGAUCUGGAGGAAUACCGGUGGCGAAGGCGGCCCCCUGGACAAAGACUGACGCUCAGGUGCGAAAGCGUGGGGAGCAAACCGGAUUAGAUACCCUGGUAGUCCACGCCGUAAACCAUGUCGAUUUGGAGGUUGUGCCCUUUGAGGCGUGGCUUCCCGGAGCUUAACGCGUUAAAUCCACCGCCUGGGGAGUACGGCCGCAAGGUUAAAACUCAAAUGAAUUGACGGGGGCCCGCACAAGCGGUGGAGCAUGUGGUUUAAUUCGAUGCAACGCGAAGAACCUUACCUGGUCUUGACAUCCACAGAACUUUCCAGAGAUGGAUUGGUGCCUUCGGGAACUGUGAGACAGGUGCUGCAUGGCUGUCGUCAGCUCGUGUUGUGAAAUGUUGGGUUAAGUCCCGCAACGAGCGCAACCCUUAUCCUUUGUUGCCAGCGGUUAGGCCGGGAACUCAAAGGAGACUGCCAGUGAUAAACUGGAGGAAGGUGGGGAUGACGUCAAGUCAUCAUGGCCCUUACGACCAGGGCUACACACGUGCUACAAUGGCGCAUACAAAGAGAAGCGACCUCGCGAGAGCAAGCGGACCUCAUAAAGUGCGUCGUAGUCCGGAUUGGAGUCUGCAACUCGACUCCAUGAAGUCGGAAUCGCUAGUAAUCGUAGAUCAGAAUGCUACGGUGAAUACGUUCCCGGGCCUUGUACACACCGCCCGUCACACCAUGGGAGUGGGUUGCAAAAGAAGUAGGUAGCUUAACCUUCGGGAGGGCGCUUACCAC
rnacentral:rRNA from 1 species